ensembl:lncRNA
GAUACCCUGCCACUGCAAAUCAGAGGAAGGCUCACCGGCCUAAAUGUACCCAAACACGCUGAAGAUGGGAGGUGGCGCGGCAGGCUUUGUAGGGAUAGGUUUCCAUACCACAGGCCGGUGCACUUUCUGCCCUGCCCCGCUGCCGUCGGGCUUGCAGAAGGCCUCUCCUUCCGUUGGGCAGGCCACGUUUUUCCUCCAAAGCCCCAGGGUCGAGUAGGGGGCAGCUGGGGGCAGGGCGGCCGCGAGAGGUGGAGGGUAGGCCCCAGGGGAGGCUUGGGGUCUGUGGUACUGAAAUGGACAGCAGCUCCAAGCGCUCAGGACCUUAACGGCCCCUCUGUCCGGCUCGUUCUGGGGACUCUCGGCCGCGGAACCCGUCCCGUCGCUGUCGGCGCCUUUUUUACUCUUCUUUCGCUCAUAAAGAGGCGAGUCCUUGAGGGGCGGCGGCGGCGGCGGCGGCGGCGACGCGUUCGUUGGGAAAAGGACUCCGUUGACGCUCAGAGGGCCCGUAGCUGUCCGCGGCUCUUCCCAAAAAGAGGCGGGCAACUGCCUUUUCCUCAUGGGCACUUGGUCGGGCCUGGGGGUCGCCUCGGCGGCGCUCUGGGGCUGGCGAGGGUGAGCUUCGCCCACGGGCUCGGCGGCCUUGUCGCCUCGGGGCGUGGCGGAGGCGCUGCCACUUCGGCCUGCAGAAACCUCUGCGCCGUCGGCGGCGGCCAGGCCUCGCGUUCUCGCCUCAGCCGCCUUUCGCUCCUUGACAGGCGGCGGCGGCGGUUGGGGCUGCAUGUGGUGAUGGUGGCACCGAGGCAGGCGGGAAUAUUUCUGGGAGAAGCGCUUGAGCUGCUUCUGAAGGUACUUUCUGUGGUCGACGGAGCGGCGGCAGGGAGCCGACUUGUCCAGGGCGGCUUUGAUGUCGCUGGAGGCCAAGUUGACAAAAUUCAGGAGGGUUUUCACCUCGCUGUCGGCCGAAGCCAUCUCUCGCAACUCAGAGAGCCGCCUCCGGUGUUUCGCAGGUUUGAGCCGAAGUCUGAGAUCACUCCAAUCGUGGUACCUCUCGCUGUUCGACCCCGUCAUGGACCACCAGCUUAUGAGUCUGUGAGUCAUGCCAGAGUUAGCUGCCCAACUUACUUGGUGGAUUUCCAUGCCGAAUCUCCGGGUCAGACGUCUGUUCAGAGCCCUUCAACUGAUGGUGCAGGUCACCACCAACGCCAGCCCAUCAGAUGGGGAGCACAUUGUCUCGGUCACAAGAGUCAUGGGCUAUGGAUGAAACAAGGGAGAUUGCUCCACAUCAAUCAUCUAGAACUCAUGGCGAUUAUAAAAGCUUUUCAUGCCCUUCUUCCAAUCAUCAAGGGUCAAGUAGUACAGUUGGUGACGGAUAAUACAACUGCCCUUUACUAUGUGAACAAGCAAGGAGGCACACACUCUUUAUCCCUCCUGUAUCUAGCCAUUGACCUAUGAGAAUGGUGAUGCCAGCACCAUAUAUUCCCUGUUGCAGUUCAUAUUUCCACAGACGACAAUUACCUGGCCGACCAGCUAAGCCGCAUGACAUCGAGGACCCACAAAUUGUCUUUCAAGGAUACAGUCUUUCACCAACUGUGUCGGCAUUGGGGGAUACCUGCCAUCAAUGUCUUUGCUUCAGGUUCAAACACCAAGUGCAGGGUCUACUGCUCUCAAGCCAGAGCAGACAAGAACUCUAUUGGGGUCAUGUUCAUGAUGGAUUGGACCGGGAAUUUCUAUAUCUUUUCUCACCGAUACCACUCAUUCAACGGACAGUCAUUCGCCUCCAUCACUUCCAGUCAAACGUGAUCCUCAUAGCUCCUUGGUGGCCGAGACAACCCUGGUUCACUUACCUGAGGUCGAUGUCAACAGACAUGUUUCAGCUCCCUCUGGUUCCCAACCUCCUCGCGUUGAACGAGGUCUACCAUCUGGACCUUCCAUUCCCCAUCACUUCCAGUCAAACGUGAUCCUCAUAGCUCCUUGGUGGCCGAGACAACCCUGGUUCACUUACCUGAGGUCGAUGUCGACAGACAUGUUUCAGCUCCCUCUGGUUCCCAACCUCCUCGCCUUGAACAAGGGGAUGGUCUACCAUCUGGACCUUCCAUCCCUGAACUUGACAGCCUGGAGGAUACUCCUGCCUUGAGGUCCAUUCUAGAUCGAGCCUGAAAACCAUUAACUCGACUCCUUUAUGGAAACAAGUGGAAAUCUUUUAUUAAAUAUACGGAAGUGAAUAACUUACCUGCUAUACCCGUCUCUUUAAAAACAUUACCUUUUUACUCAAUCUUUUUGAUUUUGUACUUUCUCUCUCAACUUUGAAGGUUUAUAUAUCAGCCAUUGUUGCCAUCAACUAGAUAACUCUACCUCAGCAAGACUUUUAUCACACCCUACAGUUACAAAAUUUCUUAAAGGACUCAAUAACAUCCGUCCCCCGCACCAACGUAUCGUUCCACAAUGGUCUCUC